CCUGUCUGAAUCUCAUCUGUCCGUCCCUUUGCACUUGCUCUGUUGCAACUCAAACGCAGCCCUCAAAAGAAUUGCAUAUCUUCUCUUUGACAAAUGGGAACAAAAGGGCCAAAAAAUGCUGCAAUGCCCCCCCAAAACAACAAAAGUCUCGUGACUCUUUUUCUCGCAAUACUAUAUUACAGCACCAGCAAAGCUUUGGCUGCGCUAUCGGGACCAACCCCAUCUUUCAGCCACAAGUUCUUUGUACAUUUCCGCUGAUUGGCUGAACCAACCUUCAUGGCAAUACAUUCUCAGCCAAAAGCACAUAACUCUACAGUCUGUGGAUUUACGGGAACACCCAAAAGCAAGAGAGGACAUUUCACAGAACAGCAAAGGAAUGAUCAAGAGUAAGAAGAGGCUGAGAGCAUUCAGAGAGACUCAGAAAAUUCAACAUCUUCUUGCUCAUAUCAUCUAUAAGCCCUCCAAUGAUCGAGGAGGAAUCCACCAGAAGAUAAAAAGAAAAAGAAUUCAUCACAUUCGAGUAGUGAAAUCAAGAAAAAGAUAAGAACCC